ACGAACGCUGGCGGCAUGCCUAACACAUGCAAGUCGAACGAGACCUUCGGGUCUAGUGGCGCACGGGUGCGUAACGCGUGGGAACCUGCCCUUAGGUUCGGAAUAACUCCCCGAAAGGGGUGCUAAUACCGGAUAAUGUCUUCGGACCAAAGAUUUAUCGCCUUUGGAUGGGCCCGCGUUGGAUUAGCUAGUUGGUAGGGUAAAAGCCUACCAAGGCGACGAUCCAUAGCUGGUCUGAGAGGAUGAUCAGCCACACUGGGACUGAGACACGGCCCAGACUCCUACGGGAGGCAGCAGUGGGGAAUAUUGGACAAUGGGCGAAAGCCUGAUCUAGCAAUGCCGCGUGAGUGAUGAAGGCCUUAGGGUUGUAAAGCUCUUUUACCCGGGAUGAUAAUGACAGUACCGGGAGAAUAAGCUCCGGCUAACUCCGUG
rnacentral:rRNA from 1 species